rnacentral:misc_RNA from 1 species
UAAACGAAACAAUGUUUUUUUGAAAGCUGCAAAGAAUAGAAUGAGGGAAGCGAUGAAAGAGAGGUGGAAGGCGGGAGUUCGAGGAAGUGUAACAGAACCUCCGAUUACAACAAUGUCAAUGGAUCUCGAUCUUGUCUACAAGAAGUUGAAUGUGUCACCAGGACAACACACUUUAACACUUGCAGCAUUGAAAGACAAUCAGCAUACAAAGCGUAGACAGUACCAAAGUACAGUGGAAGCCAAACAGUUGAGGAGGCAAAAUAAAGAUAAAAGGACAAAAUCACUAGCAAUGUUUGGAGGUACGAGAGGGACCAACCUACCAAUCAGGCAUUGAUUUAGAAGAAAAUGUUGAUAUGGAAGCUAUUCCCGCUCCGAUGUAUCAGCCAUGUCCUGAAGAUGACCCAAUUAUGGCUGACGAUUCAAUCUGUAGGAUUGUCUUUGACCUUGAAACAACUGGUCUGGAGGGAGAUUCACAUAUAACAGAACUUGCGGCUGAAACUGUAUAUUCCACAAACAACAGUACAGAUACCUUCCAUCGUUUCAUUAUUUCCAAGAAACCUAUUUCUAACCAGGCUUCCAAGAUAACUGGCAUAACAGUGAAAGGCAGACAGUUGUUUAAAAAUGCGGCUUUCGUCAACAAUUCUGUUUCUGUAUCAAGAGCUUUAACUUUAUUCCUUGAUUUUUUUAAACAAAAACAAAAGAUUAUUCUUGUUGGUCACAAUAUAAAAACAUUUGAUAGCCUUGUUCUUGUUAAUGCUCUGGAAAAUGUUAACAUGAUGGAAGAUUUUCGAAAUAUAGUCAUUGGAUUUGAGGACACAUGGAAACUGUUCAUGAUUAAUAAUCCAGAGCUGAAAAGCUACUUGCAGGAAAAUUUAGUUGGCCAGCUGCUUGGCCAAGAAUAUCAAGCACACAGUGCAUCUGAGGAUGUGAAAGCGUUGAAGGCUUUGUAUACAACUGUAGAUGUUCGGAAACAUGUACAUGCAAAAUGUCUAUUUUCUGUUGCAUAUUCUAUCCUCGGCCUUAAUUAUUCACAAAGAGUCCGGAGAAAUUUACCCUCACUUCAAAGAAUGAUUGACAUGAAAGUGUUAACACAAUCUAUGGCAAGAAGAGUAACCGGAAGUGGAUUGGUUUUUAGACAUAUUGAAAUAGUAUUCCGUAGAAGUGGAAAACAAGGGAUUACCAAUCUCUUUUCAGAAACAGUAAAUGGAAAAGUUAGAGUAACUAAAUGUUCUAAAAUUGUCCAGUCAGUGUGUGUUCUUUUCUAGCAACUAAUUUGUAUACAGGCUUUCCAGCAAUAUAUUUUAUAAAAGAAGGAGAAAAGUAGGAAUAAAAUUCUUAAAAUACUAGGAGAAAAAACUAGGAAACAAAGUGCUCAAGGUGAGCUAUUGUGAUCAGUCAAUGUCCGUCGUCCGUCAGACCACUGAUCAUAUUUUGACCAAACUUCACAGAAAUGAUCCUUGGGUGGUCUUCUUUCAAAAUUGUUCAGGUCCAUUGCACCACUAGGUCACAGGAGCUAAAAAUAGAGUAAAAACUUCAAAAAUCUUCUUGUCUGAAACCACAAGGCCUUGGUCUUUGAUAUUUAGUAUGUAGCAGUGUCAAGUAGUCCUCUACUAAGAUUGUCCAAAUUAUGCCUGGAGAAAAUUGAGUCCGCUCGUGGGGUCACAAUUUUACAUAGUCUUAUAGAGAAAAAAGCUUUAAAGAUCUUGUAUGAAACCACAAGGCAUAGGUCCUUGAUAUUUUGCAGAGCCUUCAAGAAAUAACCUGAUUAUUUGAGUGAGUCCUACUCUUUCUGUUUUGUAUCAUGGUCCUCUAAUAAGAACAACGAUUUUUAGCUCACCUGUCACAUAGUGACAAGGUGAGCUUUUGUGAUCACCCUUCGUCCGGCGUCCGUGCGUGCGUCAACAAUUUCUU